AAAUUGAAGAGUUUGAUCAUGGCUCAGAUUGAACGCUGGCGGCAGGCCUAACACAUGCAAGUCGAACGGUAACAGGAAGCAGCUUGCUGCUUUGCUGACGAGUGGCGGACGGGUGAGUAAUGUCUGGGAAACUGCCUGAUGGAGGGGGAUAACUACUGGAAACGGUGGCUAAUACCGCAUAACGUCGCAAGACCAAAGAGGGGGACCUUCGGGCCUCUUGCCAUCAGAUGUGCCCAGAUGGGAUUAGCUUGUUGGUGAGGUAACGGCUCACCAAGGCGACGAUCCCUAGCUGGUCUGAGAGGAUGACCAGCCACACUGGAACUGAGACACGGUCCAGACUCCUACGGAGGCAGCAGUGGGGAAUAUUGCACAAUGGGCGCAAGCCUGAUGCAGCCAUGCCGCGUGUAUGAAGAAGGCCUUCGGGUUGUAAAGUACUUUCAGCGGGGAGGAAGGUGUUGUGGUUAAUAACCGCAGCAAUUGACGUUACCCGCAGAAGAAGCACCGGCUAACUCCGUGCCAGCAGCCGCGGUAAUACGGAGGGUGCAAGCGUUAAUCGGAAUUACUGGGCGUAAAGCGCACGCAGGCGGUCUGUCAAGUCGGAUGUGAAAUCCCCGGGCUCAACCUGGGAACUGCAUUCGAAACUGGCAGGCUUGAGUCUUGUAGAGGGGGGUAGAAUUCCAGGUGUAGCGGUGAAAUGCGUAGAGAUCUGGAGGAAUACCGGUGGCGAAGGCGGCCCCCUGGACAAAGACUGACGCUCAGGUGCGAAAGCGUGGGGAGCAAACAGGAUUAGAUACCCUGGUAGUCCACGCCGUAAACGAUGUCUACUUGGAGGUUGUGCCCUUGAGGCGUGGCUUCCGGAGCUAACGCGUUAAGUAGACCGCCUGGGGAGUACGGCCGCAAGGUUAAAACUCAAAUGAAUUGACGGGGGCCCGCACAAGCGGUGGAGCAUGUGGUUUAAUUCGAUGCAACGCGAAGAACCUUACCUGGUCUUGACAUCCACAGAAGAAUCCAGAGAUGGAUUUGUGCCUUCGGGAACUGUGAGACAGGUGCUGCAUGGCUGUCGUCAGCUCGUGUUGUGAAAUGUUGGGUUAAGUCCCGCAACGAGCGCAACCCUUAUCCUUUGUUGCCAGCGGUUAGGCCGGGAACUCAAAGGAGACUGCCAGUGAUAAACUGGAGGAAGGUGGGGAUGACGUCAAGUCAUCAUGGCCCUUACGACCAGGGCUACACACGUGCUACAAUGGCGCAUACAAAGAGAAGCGACCUCGCGAGAGCAAGCGGACCUCAUAAAGUGCGUCGUAGUCCGGAUUGGAGUCUGCAACUCGACUCCAUGAAGUCGGAAUCGCUAGUAAUCGUGGAUCAGAAUGCCACGGUGAAUACGUUCCCGGGCCUUGUACACACCGCCCGUCACACCAUGGGAGUGGGUUGCAAAAGAAGUAGGUAGCUUAACCUUCGGGAGGGCGCUUACCACUUUGUGAUUCAUGACUGGGGUGAAGUCGUAACAAGGUAACCGUAGGGGAACCUGCGGUUGGAUCACCUCCUUA
rnacentral:rRNA from 1 species